rnacentral:rRNA from 1 species
UCCGUAGGGGGAACCUGCGGAGGGAUCAUUAUAGAGUUUUCUAAACUCCCAACCCAUGUGAACUUACCAUUGUUGCCUCGGCAGAAGCUACCUGGUUACCCUACCUUGGAACGGCCUACCCUGUAGCGCCUUACCCUGGAACGGCCUACCCUGUAACGGCUGCCGGUGGACUACCAAACUCUUGUUAUUUUAUUGUAAUCUGAGCGUCUUAUUUUAAUAAGUCAAAACUUUCAACAACGGAUCUCUUGGUUCUGGCAUCGAUGAAGAACGCAGCGAAAUGCGAUAAGUAAUGUGAAUUGCAGAAUUCAGUGAAUCAUCGAAUCUUUGAACGCACAUUGCGCCCAUUAGUAUUCUAGUGGGCAUGCCUGUUCGAGCGUCAUUUCAACCCUUAAGCCUAGCUUAGUGUUGGGAGCCUACCGCUUUUGCUAGCGGUAGCUCCUGAAAUACAACGGCGGAUCUGCGAUAUCCUCUGAGCGUAGUAAUUUUUAUCUCGCUUUUGACUGGAGUUGCAGCGUCUUUAGCCGCUAAACCCCCCAAAUUUUUUAAUGGUUGACCUCGGAUCAGGUAGGAAUACCCGCUGAACUUAAGCAUAUCAAUAGCCGGAGGAAG